UAACAUUCCGUCAAGAGACAUAGCUAAGGCAACAUAACGCUUGGUCGGUGCGAGUGAAAACUUUAGUCGUUGGUUCAUGUUGUUCGUUAUUAGUUUCACUCAAAUUAGGGCAACUUUUACCACAAAUGGGAGUCAGAGCGUGUGAGGUGGAAGCCAUGAAGGUUUUGUGCCAGUUCAUGUCUCCUGGAUGGUGACGUCUUCAUGUGGAAACCUGGCGGUGGUACAUAUUAAAGGAUUUUGCAUCCUUUAAUGUAACUGUAGCAUGUAGCACCACUACUGAUGUAGAUUGCACCCAUCAUAUAAAUUUCAUCCACUUGUACAUAUAAUGUAAGUUGGAAGUUUCAUCCACUUGUGCACAUAUUAAUGCAAGUUACACCAACUUCGGCACAUACCGUUGUGGAUUUCACCCAUCCAUGUACUACCUACAUGUAUUAUGCCGUGACUAGAGAUUAGACAAUGACACAUUGAGGAAGUUCAACAUUGCAUCUGAUGAAUACCAACCAGUGUAAGUUUUUCCAUUUGUGUUUUUGUUUGCAAAUAGUCGGAGACAACAUUCUUUUCCCGUUAUGACAUUAUUAAUAAUCUCUUGAAUAAUGUCUUCUUUAGAUUAUUCAUGAUGGUCUCAUUGCUAUUUGCACCAGACAGUUGUGAUUUGUUGCCAGAGUCAGUUAUGCCUAGAGGUUUUUAAGUUCAAGAUCUUCCCUUUGGCAGUUGGAUAUAUUGAUACAUUAUCUCUGAUUGUCCCAGUCUGCUAUACAUGAUUUUGUGACAACUGUUAGAAUAGAAAAUUUCAUUGCCAGCAUUAGUGAUCAAGCUAGUUUUUAGUGAAAUAUCAAGUGUUCAUUUAAAAUACAGGAUUGUGAUCACAAUGGUUUCCGGAUUUAUUAUAAAAGUGCAUCAGUUUAGGUAAUUGUACUUCAUACAGAUAGGAUUUUGGUGUAUUGAACGGAAUCAUGAUUGAAUGUGAUAUGAAUGUAGUUUUUUUCUGCGCUGUUUGUUAUUUUUAUUUUUGUACCUUUGACAUCGGUGAAGUACUGUUUAGCAUAUGUGGAUGCAUGUUGUUUAUCUACUUUAAAAUUGUUACUGGAUUUCAAAGCGUUACCUAUUGUUUCGUCUUACUUUGACUUAACCCUAAAACUUCAUGUUCUAAAUAUUUCAUGUAAUAUAUUGGCUAUAUUUUAUCCUCUUUUGGAAUCAAGAGCAUAAAGGGAUUUUAAAGUGUCGAAAGCUACAAUUUAUAAAGGAUUCUACUUAGCGGAAAUAAAGGUGUUGACUUUUCGUUUGUGCAUGUACAGUUGUUUGGAAACUGGCUCAGCCAGAGAAUGGCUUUUCACUUGAACAUUUGCUCGUUUUAAUGAUGACAAUUCUUUAUGGCAGUCUGUCGCAAAUUUUAGGGAUGCUUUUAUGUAGUGAGAAGAUGGUAAGACCUUAAGGGCUAAACUCUGGGACACAAGUUUGGAGUUAUAAACAACGGACUUUUGAGGUUUUAUUACAAAAAUAAACUGUAUAACAUGCUAAUAAGCAGAAAUCCUAUCAGGAAAUAGCAAAUCACUGCUGAUAAUUGGCUAAAUUCACAUGACUUUACUCAAACUUAGGAUUGUUGAGUGCAAUGUGUUCAUUGCACAAAGGAAUUCGUACAAGUAUCGUAGAGAGAUUUUUAACCAAAACCAUUACAAAAUUUACAUAAAAACACUAUCAAAUACUAAUCCCAAGACAGUAAUUAGUAGAAUGGUACUCAACCCAAGUUAAUUAUUAAUCCAAUAUUAACAUAGAUGCAAACAGAUAAAUUUAACAUGUGUUGAACACAGUUACACAAUGAAACUUAGUAAUAAACCCGGCUAGCAGAGGAGAACUAACGGUCACGUACCUGCCUGGUUGGUUUUUUUCUUAGUCUAAUUAUUACCAAGUUUUUACUUGCACAGAAAAAAUACACAGAUACGAAACUCCGAUCACCUAGCUGCACUUUUCCUUCUUCCUGCUAUAACCUGACAUUGUGGAAGGUUUGUUGCUAAAAGGUGGAUACGACCUUUUUGCAAUGUUCUCUACACUAGGGAAAUCUGGCCUUAAAGUUAAGCAUUUAGAAGUUUAGAACAGUGGCAGCAUGUCUCAACUGUGAGUGCUCCCAGGUUAGGAGACAUCUUUCGGCAAAAACAUCAACAUCAAAACAGUUCAAAUAUGUGAUCACCUUUCACAAUAGCAAAGAAUUUCUUACACCGUCACAAUCAUUACCUACGCUCUCACCACCUGCACAGCAUGUGACUUGGCUGGCACAAGGUUAGGUUCUCCAGAGUGGUUACUAUGACGACACUAUUUACAAUUCCCGUUUUCUAGGACUCCUCUCUUCAGCCCUCUUCUGGCAGCUACACUUACAAAUUUUAUUAUCCUUUCCAUGGUUGUUCUUAGCAAUACAAUCACACAUCUCCCUUUUCUACCCAUCUACGCAUCUUUUCAUAUUGAGUUAAUGUGGCUCUGUACACUUUGAUUGCCACCUUGGUCAACUUGUCCAUGUAGUGAUUCAGAUUCGCACAGAUCUGGCGAUUCAUCUUUAUCACUUUCGACAUCUCGGUCGUGGAUGACACGACGUUUGCACGGUCUCAGUCUCUUUAAUACCUUGAGCAUCUAACACACCCCCUCUCCCCCUAAUGUUCUCUCUGUAACCUCCGUUUCUGGGUCUCGCGUCUCUCUCCACGUCGUUCUCGCUUGCAUCAAUGCCAUCUGUGUCCAUCAUAUCACCUCAUCCUUGCUGUCGUUGUGGGAACUGACUUCUAGGAGAACGAGGUGUUCUGUUGCUCACAAGGUCUCAGUACUCUCGUACAGUACCUUCGUUGAUCUUAUGAUCCCGUUUUUGUUAGGAUAAAUCUCUGUGACUGCACCCAAAGGCCACUAUGCAUGCUUGCGUCUAGCUUGACUAGUAUGAUUUCUUCCUUGCGGAGGUUAGUCUUCCUCCCCUGCUUGUAAUCAUGCCUUGAUUGCAUGGAGGAAAGGUAUUCUCAUUGCCACUGCUCCUGGAACAUUUUAAGGGCAUCACUCAAUCAAUGAUAUUGAUCCCUUAAUUUGCUCAAUGUUAAUGUUCCAUUUAGGUCCUCUUAUGGGAGCAAUGGCGCCAUCAAACUAAUCAUAGAGCCUCA